UACGGAGGGUGCGAGCGUUGUCCGGAAUCACUGGGCGUAAAGGGCGCGUAGGUGGCGCGAGAAGUCAACGGUGAAAGCCCGGGGCUCAACCCCGGGUCGGCCGUCGAUACUCUUGGGCUCGAGCACUGUAGAGGCAGGUGGAAUUCCGGGUGUAGCGGUGGAAUGCGUAGAGAUCCGGAAGAACACCGGUGGCGAAGGCGGCCUGCUGGGCAGUUGCUGACACUGAGGCGCGACAGCGUGGGGAGCAAACGGG
rnacentral:rRNA from 1 species